CAAUAGUGGCGCACGGGUGCGUAACGCGUAACCAACCUACCCACAUCUGGGGGAUAGCCCGCCGAAAGGCGGAUUAAUACCGCAUAAGCUACUUGGCCGGCAUCGGUUGGAUAGUAAAGAUUUAUUGGAUGUGGAUGGGGUUGCGUGCCAUUAGCUGGUUGGGGGGGUAACGGCCCACCAAGGCGACGAUGGCUAGGGGAGCUGAGAGGCUGGUCCCCCACACGGGCACUGAGAUACGGGCCCG
rnacentral:rRNA from 1 species